rnacentral:rRNA from 1 species
UACAGAGGGUGCGAGCGUUGUCCGGAAUCACUGGGCGUAAAGGGCGCGUAGGCGGCUUGAUAAGCGUGCGGUGAAAGCCCGGGGCUCAACCCCGGGUCGGCCGUGCGAACUGUCGAGCUGGAGCACUGUAGAGGCAGGUGGAAUUCCGGGUGUAGCGGUGGAAUGCGUAGAGAUCUGGAAGAACACCGGUGGCGAAGGCGGUGGUCUGGGCCAUUACUGACGCUGAGGAGCGAAAGCCAGGGGAGCGAACGGG